ACACGACUACAUUAGAUACCCGGGUAGUCCUAGGCGUAAAUGAUGCGAGUUAAGUNUGGGGGCAUCUACGAGAUGGCCCUGUGCUGUAGGGUAGCCGUUAAACUCGCUGCCUGGGGAGUACGGUCGCGAGGCUGAAACUUAAAGGAAUUGGCGGGGAGCACCACAAGAGGUGGAGGCUGCGGUUCAAUUGGACUCAACGCCGGAAAACUCAUCGGGAGCGACAGCAGUAUGAUUGCCAGGUUGAUGACCUUGCUUGACAAGCUG
rnacentral:rRNA from 1 species